CCUACGGGCGGCAGCAGUGAGGAAUAUUGGUCAAUGGACGAGAGUCUGAACCAGCCAAGUAGCGUGAAGGAUGACUGCCCUAUGGGUUGUAAACUUCUUUUAUAUGGGAAUAAAAUGUUCCACGUGUGGGAUUUUGUAUGUACCAUAUGAAUAAGGAUCGGCUAACUCCGUGCCAGCAGCCGCGGUAAUACGGAGGAUCCGAGCGUUAUCCGGAUUUAUUGGGUUUAAAGGGAGCGUAGGUGGAUUGUUAAGUCAGUUGUGAAAGUUUGCGGCUCAACCGUAAAAUUGCAGUUGAAACUGACAGUCUUGAGUACAGUAGAGGUGGGCGGAAUUCGUGGUGUAGCGGUGAAAUGCUUAGAUAUCACGAAGAACUCCGAUUGCGAAGGCAGUUCACUGGACUGCAACUGACACUGAGGCUCGAAAGUGUGGGUAUCAAACAGGAUUAGAUACCCGAGUAGUC
rnacentral:rRNA from 1 species